rnacentral:rRNA from 1 species
GAUGAACGCUAGCGACAGGCUUAACACAUGCAAGUCGAGGGGCAGCGGGGGUAGCAAUACCCGCCGGCGACCGGCGCACGGGUGAGUAACGCGUAUGCAACUUACCUAUCAGAGGGGGAUAACCCGGCGAAAGUCGGACUAAUACCGCAUGAAGCAGGGGCCCCGCAUGGGGAUAUUUGCUAAAGAUUCAUCGCUGAUAGAUAGGCAUGCGUUCCAUUAGGCAGUUGGCGGGGUAACGGCCCACCAAACCGACGAUGGAUGGGGGUUCUGAGAGGAAGGUCCCCCACAUUGGUACUGAGACACGGACCAAACUCCUACGGGAGGCAGCAGUGAGGAAUAUUGGUCAAUGGGCGUAAGCCUGAACCAGCCAAGUCGCGUGAGGGAUGAAGGUUCUAUGGAUCGUAAACCUCUUUUAUAAGGGAAUAAAGUGCGGGACGUGUCCUGUUUUGUAUGUACCUUAUGAAUAAGGAUCGGCUAACUCCGUGCCAGCAGCCGCGGUAAUACGGAGGAUCCGAGCGUUAUCCGGAUUUAUUGGGUUUAAAGGGUGCGUAGGCGGCCUUUUAAGUCAGCGGUGAAAGUCUGUGGCUCAACCAUAGAAUUGCCGUUGAAACUGGGGGGCUUGAGUAUGUUUGAGGCAGGCGGAAUGCGUGGUGUAGCGGUGAAAUGCUUAGAUAUCACGCAGAACCCCGAUUGCGAAGGCAGCCUGCCAAGCCAUGACUGACGCUGAUGCACGAAAGCG